CGUUCAGUGGGGUAGUCGGUAGUACAUCAGUUUAACACACUGAUGAUCCUAGGUUCGAAUCUAGGUAAAAUCC